rnacentral:rRNA from 1 species
UUCUUUAAGGAUUAAUUUAAAGUAAUACCUGCUCAAUGUUAAAAUAAAUAGCCGCAGUAUAUUCUGUGCUAAGGUAGCAUAAUCACUUGCUUUCUAAUUAAAAGAUAGUAUGAAAGGUAAAACGGUUAAUUACUGUUUCUUAUCAAUAAAUAAACUUAAUAUUGUGAUUAAAAUUUCAUAAUAGAAUAACAAGACGACAAGACCCUAAUAAACUUAACAUUUAGUUGGGGUGACAAAAAAAAACAACCUUAUUAAAUACAAAAUUAAACCUUUUUUAAAAUCAAUAUAUAGUUACUAUAGGGAUAACAGCGUGAUAUUAUUCUAGAGUUCAUAUCAAAAAUAAAGAUUACGACCUCGAUGUUGAAUUAAUUAACCUUUAUGACGCAAAAGUUAUACUAAGGAAGUCUGUUCGACUUUAAAAAAAUU